CAUCUCCUGACCUCGGCUUUCUUCCAUCUGGUCCCCAGGGCAACAGCCAACACAGACCCAAAGCCAGACGCACUCUUUCCACUGGCUGAUGCAGCCCCAGGUUGGGGCGCAAGGCUCAGAAAGGGGCAUUUGAACUGCAGGAUACGGCCUUCUUCCUCGGGAUCUGAAAUGUCAACUGGAGCUCCAGCCACCAUAUCCUUGUUCCAGAUAGCAGGAUGCAGAAAGGGAUGAACAUUGCAUGCCGUUGGCCUUGAAGGAAGAGUCUCAGAAGUUCCACACAACACUUCUACUAACAUCUCAUUGACCAGAACUCAGUUAUAUGGCCACACAGAGCUGCAAGGAAGGCUGGGGUAUUUAGCCUUAUUCCAAAGAGCCAAUGAAAACUGGGAUUUGCAUUAUUAUGAAAGAAGAGGAGAACAGUAUUGGUGUAUGUAUCAGUCAGCAAAUGCUAUAAUUAUUGUGCAUAACAA